UACAGAGGGUGCAAGCGUUAAUCGGAAUUACUGGGCGUAAAGCGUACGUAGACGGUCAGAUAAGUCGGGUGUGAAAGCCCCGGGCUCAACCUGGGAAUUGCAUUCGAGACUGUCUGGCUAGGGUGCGGAAGAGGGAAGCAGAAUUCCCGGUGUAGCGGUGAAAUGCGUAGAUAUCGGGAGGAAUACCAGUGGCGAAAGCGGCUUCCUGGUCCAGCACCGACGUUCAGGUACGAAAGCAUGGGGAGCAAACAGG
rnacentral:rRNA from 1 species